UAGGUUGACCAACUGUCCCAGUUUACGUGUGUCUGAGAGGGCUUCUAGAACACGGGACUUACUGUUAACUGUCCCAGUCAAACCACCCAGGUUUCCUGUGACUGAGGAGUUUUCCAGGAUGCAGUUCUAAAUUCAGGGAAGUCCCAAGCAAAACAAAAUGACUUGAUCACCCUAUCUGUAGGAACUGCCUGAAUGGUAGCAAGAAGAGUGGAAAUCACUGUCUUGCUCCUUACAUUAGAGGUUGUAAAUAUAGGACCAUGAAAUGAGGAGGCCAGUGAAAGAACAGAAGAGAAAUCCUGCAAAGCAUCAUGAGAGAAGACUAAGUCUUCAAAAUCCAGUGUAUCCUUUAUACUUACAAGACAUCUUAAUACAAAAUGGCCACAUUUCAAGUGUUGCUAGCCACUGUGGUUAGUGGCUGUUGUAUUGGAUGGUGAAGGUUGAAUGAAUAUAGACUGUAAACAUAAACUGAAGGGGAUACUAUCUCCUCUGCUCUGUGGAAGCCAACUUGAACGAUCUAAGUAGACAACACAUGCUCUCAAUCUUAGCUGAGUCCCACUCCUACAUUCAGACAAUAGCUCUACUCUCUACCCUAGGUCAUUGGGG